GAACGGCGCGAUCGGGGAGCAGGCGCGGCUACGCUCCGCCUCAGUGAUGUCGCCGGGAGGAUCUCCGCGCGGCUACCUCCUCUUCCGCCGCCUUCCUCCCACGCCUUCACCUCCCUCCCCCGCCGCGCUCUGCGGCGAAAAGGAGCGGGCUCCCAGGCCACCUCCCCUCUCUCCACCCAGGGGCCGCGCGUCAGUGGACCUGCAGCCCAGGCAACGGGGCUGCGGACGGCGCGCGUGCCCUGCCUCGCCUCACGCCGGUAGCUGAUGCUCCCGCGGCAGCUGCCACCCCAGCGCCCCAGCCACGGCUUCAGAGGCUCUCGCACGCUGGCUUUUUUUUUUUCCCCCCGCUUUGGUGAACUCGCAGUACUUGGGCUGAGCCCGAAAUCUCGCGAGAUGCUGCAGGCGUCAGUGCGGCUUCCCACUAGGCGCGUGGUACCCGAGGCCGGGCCGGAGCCGCAGGCCAGCCGCGAUUCCUUCGGGCGAUGCUGGGGGCUUUCCGGUCGGGGCCGCAGCCGCUUCCGGAGCCGCGGGCGAGGUGCGUUCCCCAGCCUGGUUUGCUCUGGGCUCUGACCCGCCGCCGCGAAUCUCCGCUCGUAACUCCGGGCCUGAACCUGGAGGAGGGAGGAUUUCCUCUGUGCAGCUUUCGAGCGGUAGACUCACCCUGCCAGGCAGACCUAGAUUGGCAUAACCAGAGAUCAGUUCCAGUUGUGAUGCAGUGGGUGUCUACACACUUCUGAUGACACCUUUAUUUUAAAAGCUGAUGUUCCAAGGUGCAAGCGGUCUUCUCUGUCUUCUUUAUGGCCAGUAAAAUUCUCCAGAAGAGAUUUAUGGCAGCCUCACUCCCAGUAGUUUCUGCAUUUAGUGAGAUAAGGAAUGGAUUUUCUUCUGUGUAUUGCUGACACGAACAGGAGACGGAAAUACUGAGUAGAAGAGGGCGGUUCCCUGGCUAAGGCCCCACCCUCAAGCCUGGAUACCCGCGGCCCUAAAUGAGAAGAGGCGUUUCUGUUUGGGGCCCAAAAAGUUGCUUUUUGACCCACCACGCCCCCUAUCCUGCCCCCAUAUAAACCCCAAACCCCAACCUCCAGAGCAUACCAGCAGGUGAGGAGAUACGAGGCAAGCCGACUGACGGCAAAACGACGUAGCAGAGAAAGAGAGAAGAGGAGGGACGUCUGGACACCGAGAGAUGUUUGGCUCGGGGCAGUCAGAGCGGAGUCCAGCCCCUGGGCGGCCCAACUCCAGGGGAAGAUCACCUUCCCACUUCAUCCAUCCCCACCCUUCCAGCUCCCCAUCCAUCCUGCUGAAAGCCAUUUCCACCACUCAAUAAAACCUCGCAUUCAUCCUUCAAGUCCGUGUGUGACCCGAUUUUUCCUGGAUUCUGGAAAAGAGCUCGGAAUACAGAAAGCUGUCCCCUGGUCCUUUGCCCUUGUGAAAAAGCAGAAGGUCCAUUGAGCUGGUUAACACUCCAGCUGUCUGUGGUGGCCAAGCUGAAAGAGCUUUGUAACACUGGGGUUGCAGGCACCCACCUCUAGACGCUACCGCAGAGCCAGAGCCCAAAGCCCUCACCCCGGCCUCUGCACUUGCCCAUCUGCGUGCUCCCCCUCUCGCAAGGGGUUUCUGCAGAGGGGGCUACUGAACAGGUGAGCCACACCCCUGUCGCACGCCCUGCAAGGGGAAUCAGGGAACUCUUCCGUUUCAUUGCUUUGACCACAUCCUAUAAAUCUUGUUCUCCUUGUCUUUCAGCUCCAA
rnacentral:lncRNA from 1 species